UACGAAGGGGGCUAGCGUUGCUCGGAUUGACUGGGCGUAAAGGGCGCGUAGGCGGUUCGUACAGUCAGACGUGAAAUUCCUGGGCUCAACCUGGGGGCUGCGUUUGAUACGUGCGGACUUGAGUGCGGAAGAGGGUCGUGGAAUUCCCAGUGUAGAGGUAAAAUUCGUAGAUAUUGGGAAGAACACCGGUGGCGAAGGCGGCGACCUGGUCCGAUACUGACGCUGAGGCGCGAAAGCGUGGGGAGCAAACAGG
rnacentral:rRNA from 1 species